rnacentral:rRNA from 1 species
UACGGGGGGGGCAAGCGUUGUUCGGAAUUACUGGGCGUAAAGGGCUUGUAGGUGGCCAACUAAGUCAGACGUGAAAUCCCCAGGCUCAACCUGGGAACUGCGUCUGAUACUGGAUGGCUUGAAUCCGGGAGAGGGAUGCAGAAUUCCAGGUGUAGCGGUGAAAUGCGUAGAUAUCUGGAGGAAUACCGGUGGCGAAGGCGGCAUCCUGGACCGGCAUUGACGCUGAGGAGCGAAAGCUAGGGGAGCAAACGGG